rnacentral:rRNA from 1 species
AGAGUUUGAUCAUGGCUCAGAUUGAACGCUGGCGGCAGGCCUAACACAUGCAAGUCGAGCGGUAACAGGAAUUAGCUUGCUAAUUUGCUGACGAGCGGCGGACGGGUGAGUAAUGCCUGGGAAUAUGCCUUAGUGUGGGGGAUAACUAUCGGAAACGAUAGCUAAUACCGCAUAACGUCUUUGUUCAUUACGAGCGGGACCAAAGAGGGGGACCUUCGGGCCUCUCGCGCUAAGAUUAGCCCAGGUGGGAUUAGCUAGUUGGUGAGGUAAAGGCUCACCAAGGCAACGAUCCCUAGCUGGUCUGAGAGGAUGAUCAGCCACACUGGAACUGAGACACGGUCCAGACUCCUACGGGAGGCAGCAGUGGGGAAUAUUGCACAAUGGGGGAAACCCUGAUGCAGCCAUGCCGCGUGUAUGAAGAAGGCCUUCGGGUUGUAAAGUACUUUCAGUCGUGAGGAAGGGUGUGUAGUUAAUAGCUGCAUACCUUGACGUUAGCGACAGAAGAAGCACCGGCUAACUCCGUGCCAGCAGCCGCGGUAAUACGGAGGGUGCGAGCGUUAAUCGGAAUUACUGGGCGUAAAGCGCAUGCAGGCGGUCUGUUAAGCAAGAUGUGAAAGCCCGGGGCUCAACCUCGGAACCGCAUUUUGAACUGGCAGACUAGAGUCUUGUAGAGGGGGGUAGAAUUUCAGUGUAGCGGUGAAAUGCGUAGAGAUCUGAAGGAUACCGGUGGCGAA